AGGUUGUUUGAGGCACGGGUAAGAUCUCCAUCAACAGAUCUAGAGGAAAGGCUGCUUGAGGAUAGAUCUGCAAGGUCUAUCUCCAUCUACCUUCUUCCCUAUCUAUAGUACUCUGAUUUGAGAUCUAUAAAUUAGAAGACCUUGAUCCAGGCCUUAUCUAGUUUGGUACCAGAUCUUGGAUUUUUUAGAGGUGAUCUUAGAGGCGUUCUUCAUCUGGAACAAAAGGCUGAUGAAGAAGACAGCAACCAGGCUAUUUUCGUCAAGAGCCUUUGAUCGAGUUCAGAAGUCUCCAGAUGUAUUCGUUGCUGGUUUUGCUACACC
rnacentral:lncRNA from 1 species